rnacentral:rRNA from 1 species
UGGGGAAUUGUUCGCAAUGGGCGCAAGCCUGACGACGCAACGCCGCGUGGAGGAUGAAGGUCUUCGGAUCGUAAACUCCUGUUGCCCGGGACGAAUGGCUUCGACCUAAUACGUCGGAGUAUGACGGUACCGGGUGAGGAAGCCCCGGCUAACUCUGUGCCAGCAGCCGCGGUAAUACAGAGGGGGCAAGCGUUGUUCGGAAUUACUGGGCGUAAAGGGCGCGUAGGCGGCCUGUUAAGUCGAACGUGAAAUCCCUGGGCUCAACCCAGGAACUGCGUCCGAUACUGGCUGGCUUGAAUCCGGGAGAGGGAUGCGGAAUUCCAGGUGUAGCGGUGAAAUGCGUAGAUAUCGGGAGGAACACCUGUGGCGAAGGCGGCCACCUGGUUGGAUACUGACGCUGAGACGCGAAAGCGUGGGGAGCAAACAGGAUUAGAUACCCAGGUAGUCCCUGAGCGGGCUGGCAAGGCGCAU